AUUGAACGCUGGCGGCAGGCCUAACACAUGCAAGUCGAGCGGAGCGGCGGACGGGUGAGUAAUGCCUAGGAAUCUGCCUGGUAGUGGGGGAUAACGUCCGGAAACGGGCGCUAAUACCGCAUACUAUCAGAUGAGCCUAGGUCGGAUUAGCUAGUUGGUGGGGUAAAGGCCUACCAAGGCGACGAUCCGUAACUGGUCUGAGAGGAUGAUCAGUCACACUGGAGUGAAGAUACGGCCCAGACUCUUACGUGAGGCAGCAGUGGGGAAUAUUGGACAAGGGGCGAAAGCCUGUUCAAGCCAUGCCGCGUGUGUGAAGAAUUUCUGCGGAUUGUAAAGCACUUUAAGUUGGGAGGCGUUACCAACAGAAUAAGCACCGGCUAACUUCGUGCCAGCAGCCGCGGUAAUUC
rnacentral:rRNA from 1 species